rnacentral:lncRNA from 1 species
CGCAACCAAAGCACCAUUUUUUCGUUCAUAGACAAUUAAAGGCUAUAGUAUACUCAAUCAAGACAAAUUAAAUUUAAUAAUAGCUCAUGAAAUUUUCCCAUCCACCUUGCAAAUAGAUACCCCUCGUAAUUCCUAAACUCGCAAACACCGCUAUUGAAGAAGUUAAAACUAAAACCCUUCAAAAUUCAAGAUUGGUCUUUCCUUCAAAUAUACGAUCUCCCUCUCGCACAAAUUUGUUUCCAGAAAGCCCUAGAACUCUUUACCCCUCGUAUACAUUAAUUGAAUUGCAAUAGAAAUGACGGAUGAUUCAAGAGAUAUCGAGAAGCUUUACGAGUAUGGAGAGAAACUCAACGAAGCCAAAGACAAAUCUCAAGUCAGUAAUUCUUUUUUUGUCUGAUUCAGGAGUUUCUGCGCUUUUUAGAAGUUUUUUUUUUCUUUUUCUUUUUUAUGACGUGUUCGAUUUUGGGAGCAGAAUAAGGGGGAUUAUGAGGGAAUAAUUGCGGCUGCAAAUGGCAGCGUGAAGGCGAAGCAAUUGGCUGCGCAGCUGAUACCAAGGUUUUUCAAGUACUUCCCUGAGCUCUCGGAGCAAGCUCUCGACCAACAUUUGUAUCUGUGCGAGGAUGAGGAACUUGGGGUUAGGAAUCUAUUCUCCAUUUAAUGCGUUUUAUUUGUGUAUUUCUUGAUACUCUAAUAUGAAAUUUACAUAAGGGAAGUUCUUUUACUAAAUUGGCCUGCUAUUUACUAUUUGGAUUUCGGGGUAUUGGUUUAUGUUCGACUUAUUACGUGUUUAGUUUAUUUACCAAGAGUAAUUUAUAUGUAGAAUAGAUUGAAGCUAUUAUUUGAUACAAGUGGGCAGAAAAUGAGUUUGGGUCGUCAUUAUGUUAUCUUUCACGAAUGUUUUGUUUUUAAAUUUUUUAUUUAUUUCCAUAAAGGUGAAAGCUGGAAGGUUCAAUAGUUCCCUUCUUAUGUAUUAUGACAGUAGCCGUCCCUACUGAAGCGGGCAUCAUACAUGAUUCUUUCCGUUAACCUGUAAAAUAUCAUAUUUUUUCUCCUUCAGAGCUCUUGGUAUCAAAACUCUUCCUUUCCAAGCACAUCUACUCCAUCAUUGGGUUGUGCUAUGGGCUAGUACGCCCCAAGACAAGCUAACCAUAGUAAGACCUAAUGCUUUAGCAAUUGCGCAGGAGAAGAGUGGAAAAUGAACGAAGAAGUUUGUGAAUGAAAAUGGCUUAUGACUUAUGUUUAAAAAGAAUGAUGAUAUGCUUGCCAGGAUGGAACUGGGGACUAAUAAUUGAAAUUAUAAAAAUGUUUCAUUCAAUUUUGAAUUGAAUUGUUUAUUGCAGGUUCAAUUUUAUAAACCUAAUGCCGUGCUUCCAAACAUGCCAUGAGUGUGCUGGAUUUUUUUUAUUUUUUAUUAUUUAUUUAUUUUUUUCUCAUUUUUGUUUUGAAUGUAAUCUACAAUAUUGCUUGCCCUUGUUUAUUUCGCAUUAGCUAGAGAGAUGGAGAGGAGUUUCCCUGCAUAAGUUUAAUGUUAAGCAUGCUGCAUCUGAUUUAAUGGGUUGUAAAUAGUAAAUCAUAUAGCCUCUCUUGACUGCCUCAAGCAUUUAUUUUAUGACCAUAAAUUAAACAAGCACCCUAAAAGCAGAGCCAUUUACUGUAUGGCCUUUCUUCUAGCAAUCCCCUAGUUGAUAUAUCACAGAAUGUAAUAGUGUUCUCUUUGUAUUCAAAAGAAGUUUAUUAGUCCAUAGUAGGGAAGUCUACUAACUGUUUGUUUAUGGUUAAAGGUGCGAGUACAAGCUAUACGUGGACUUCCUCUUUUUUGCAAGGAUACUCCAGAACAUCUGGCUAAAAUAGUUGACAUCCUUGGUCAGCUCCUUGUAGCGGGUAAUUUAGAUUUUGAUAUCUGCAUUUUGAUUUGUAAUAAUUUAAGUUACUUGAUUAGAUAACAAUAACAUCCUUUGUGAUUUUAGGAGAUAACGUGGAGCGUGACGCGGUGCAUAAAGCCCUUAUAUCUUUAUUGCGGCAGGAUGUUAAAAGUAAGUUCCAGUGGUUGUAGCAAAUUUUUUCAUGCCACCUAUCUUUUUUUUUUUUUUUCGUUUUUUAUGGGAGCAUCAGUGAAGGCUUCUGCUUUCCAAACUUCAACGUGCUUCACAAUUUUCUAAAUUUGGUAGGUUUAGAAAAUAUUCUAGACUAAAUUAGGUUUUGCCCCCAAAUUUUUACCAAUACGAAAUCUGGAUCAACACACUUGUUUAUAUGGUAUGGAACAAGAUUUAAACAAACUGCUUAAUGUUUUUAACAUUUUGCAACAUCAAAUGUAAGAAUUUUCUGUCUAUCUAUACUUGAAAAGGAAACACGAUCCUUACAUGGAUGUUUUUGCACUUCAGUGUAUAAUGGUCUUAUGAUGUUAAAGUUUAUUGGUUUUUUGAAAAUGAUGUGAUAUUUUGGAUGCUAAGGUUUGAAUAAUUAGUGGUGUUUUGAAAAUUGGCUUGAUUAGUAGAUAGAUGUCAUGGUAUAUAGAAAGCAAGAUUAUGUAUGGGUUGUUUAGCAUUCUAUUAAGGAUUAUGCUAUUAAAUAAAAAAGUCUCUUUCGUAAUAAGAAUAGCAAGCUUGUUUGGGACUUUAUUCCAAGAUGUAUUGUUUGGUGUGUGUGGAGGGAGAAAAAACAACCGCUGUUUUCAUGAUCAUACACGGACAAUAUAGCAGAUUAAAGAAUUAUUUUAUUUGACAUUGUAUACUUGGUUUAAUAUUGCGACUUCUUCUCGUAUAGACGGGUUGCCCAAUUUUAUGUUGUUUCUGUCUUGUAUAAAUUGAUAAUACACUUCCUAUGUAUUAUCCAUGAUUAAUAAAAUAUUAGAAUACCUAUCUAAAAAAUCAAAAUAAAAAUAAAAAAGUUUCUUGAGUGCUCCAAAAAGUUGUGGGAUUUUAGAGAACUCAUUUCUCAUUUGAUUGAAAGGAAAAUAGUUUGAUAUGAUUCUCAGUAUCAUUUAUAAAGAGGAAAGUAUACUUUUUUUAAAUGAAGUAGAGAGACUUGUAUGUCUUCUAUAUGGAAAUAUCAACAGUAAACAUAACACUUGUGUCAAUCCAGCUAGUUGCAUAAUCUAAAUUGAAAACAAUGGUGUAAGGCCAUUUGAUCACUCCGGAACCGAAAUAUAUUCAUUCUAUUAAGGGUAAAAAAUACCAAAAUGCAUCUAUAUCGUAGUUCGUGGUAUGGGUUUGUAUAAUGCCCAUAAUGCACUUCUGUGGGAUUCUUAUUGUAGAAAACCUGCUAUCAUUUUAUUUUCAUUGAACUAUUGCAGACCGUUCCUAUAUAGACUACGUACUGCAUUACGCAUUGGGUUUGUGCAUAUGUUUGUAGACUGAAGCUGUUCAGUAUGUUUGCUGCAGCUUCCUUAACAGCUUUAUUUAAGCACAUUGGAAGCACUGAUGAUCGAACUGCUGAUGAUGUUAGCACUUGGGAGACGAUUCGUGAAAAGGUUCUCUGUUUUAUUAGAGAUAAGGUAAAGGGAUGCUUAAUCUUUAUGAUAUUUUUUCAUUGCAAAGAGCUCUUAUGGCAUGCAUGAAUUGUGAAUGACAACAUUUUGCAGGUGUUUCCUCUUAAGGGAGAGCUACUAAAGCCACAGGACGAAAUGGAGAGGCAUUUAACUAAUUUGAUAAAGCAGGUAUAUCAUGUUUAAUAUGGAGAAUCGUAGUUCUAAUGUUCUUUCUCUUUAAUGGCUCAUUCGUUUUGCCUAGUCGACUCUCACUUUUCUUUAUAUAUACAUUUUUGAUCUAAAAGCUCAACACCUGUUGAGUGACAGCUUGUUUACUCCCUCAUUUUCCUGUUGCAGAAUUUGCAAGAUGUGACAGCAGUUGAAUUUAAAAUGUUUAUCGACUUUUUAAAGAGCUUGAGCUUAUUUGGACAGAAGGCUCCUGUGGAACGUGUUGAGGAACUUGUUGAGAUCAUUGAAGGCCAGGCUGAUCUUGAUGCUCAGUUUGACGUGUGUUCCUUUUCCAGUAUAUUACUAGUGGGCAUUUAUUUUCCUUUUGUUAUCUGUUUAGUUACUGCUGCUUUUGUAGACUUUUAUUUUUACCACCCAUUUUCUCAAAGAUAAUUCUAGUUUUCAAGUUCAAGUAUUCUUGCUUCAUUACUGUUUAAUUGCCCUAGCACAUAUAUUUUGCUAAUCUUGCUUUGAAGAAUCAAUUGUUAUCACCUUUUUUCCAAUUAAAAUUUUGGUGAAAUGUAUUUGCUUUGAAAUAUGUCUUAUGUUUAUUUUUUUCCUGGUGGGGGUAUGCUUUGAUGUAAUUUUAUGAACCAUUUCAAAGGUCAAUUCAAUUUUGGCUGAACGACUGGCCUCCUAUUUUGUUAUACCCUUCCUUAAAGAACACUGGUUCUUUUUGUAACAGCAGCAACUAGUUAGACCUACUCUACAAAAUUUGGAGUUGACUCCACGCAUCUUUUUUCACCACUAUGUUGAAUCAUGCUUGCAUCAUCAAAGAUCUACUAAGAUUAGCCUUCUGCAAUGACUAUAGCUCUAAAUUCUCUCUCCCUCUCUCUCUCUCUCUCUCACACACACACACACACUUGAUUUGUACUGUGACAUUGCUGCUCUUGUUGAUGGAAGCUGCUUUAGUUCUAUGCAAAAUAUGCCUCAGGCCCUCAGCCACCUAAAUUCCAUUCCACUUAGUGACUUACAUUCUAAUUUCUUAUUAUAUCCAUUUUAGUAUGUCCGUAUUUUAUCUUAGCAUUUCUUAUUGCUGCUAAGUCCAUCUUGCUGACAUUAUGCCUUUUAAGAGCCCAACAAUUUUUUUCCUUUUAUGGUCUAUUUGUUAGUCCCGCAGCAUAAUGUUCUAAUUGUUUAUCUAGAGAUCUUGCUUUUAACUUAAUAGGCAUCUUUCAAUCACAUAAAAUCCUUUCUCCAUUUUGUCAUAAAUGGUUCUAGUCUAUUCAUUACAUUGUUUUUAAGUCCUCAUUCAUUAAUAAUAAUUAAACCUAAUUACCAUAAACAAUCUCUCUUUGUAGUGACUACACUAUCAUCUUUGUUCCUACUGUUUCUAAACACAUUUUGGGUGAUGUCGAUUUUUUUGGAGAAUAUAUUUUGCGAAAGGUUCUUUAUUUAUUUAUUAUUAUUUUUUUUUGGGAGAAUGUGGGAAAAGUUACAAAUCCACCUGAAAAAUUAUUUUAUUGGGAUAAUAUGCGGGUCAAAAAUGAGUUUGAGGAAAAUGAGUUUUUAAAGAAUUCACACGGCUUCAUGAAUUCCCUGUUAAUUUUGCUUAACAUAUAACUUUUAGAGUUCAAAGUACUUCCUCUCCUAGGUUUAUCAACUGAUUGUGUCGUAUACAAUAACAUCCACCAAUGACCUUAUAUGAUGUCUCCUGAGCUCUUAGAUGACUGGAGCUAAGAGAUAAGAACAUAAGUCAAAAUCUUGAUGUAAGCCCUUAGUAGUUAGAUAUUAUCUACUGCUAGUAUUACACUGAUAAUAUCUAUAUAUUUGAUAGAAAAUUAUUUUUAUUAGCAUCUGCCACUGCACUUCCCUGGUCACCCUAUGUAUAUAUUGUUUCUUUUCUAGACUUCUCAAUCUGUCUCCGAAGUAGGUAAUGAUACAAAACAGAAGUGUUCUCUGAGUCCUUCGAAUACAUAUUUCAUAUAUAUUCAGAUGCCCAUAAUUAGUAUGACUCAUGAAUUUAAUACCUUUAUAGUUUGUAAAAUCUUGAAUAACAUUUAUUUUUAAAGUAAACACUACAAUAAUUCUACUCCAUUCAUUAGGCAUUUUUUCCUUUUCAAUAUCUUAUUGAAUAAUUUUGUCUAAGCAUAAAUUUUUUUUCAUGCCUUUGAUAGAAUUUCUAUCUGAACUGAUUGCUUUUCUUAUCUUCAUGCUUCAUCCUAUUCAGUGCCCCCAUACUUCCAAGAUAAGUUAUAAGAUGGGUGACCCUUUGGCAAGUCCUCACAUUGCACCCUACCAAAAAAUCCUCACAUUGCACCUCUUAAAACUUGCCUAUGAUUAUUCACAAUGGGUAGUAUACUUGGAACGUGAAUGGAGGGCAGUUGCACUAUAGCGCUUCUUAUGACAUCAAUCUUGGUGUCUACUAUGUAUAUUCUAAUUUUUUUGUAACCUUAUUUAAUAGUACUUUCGUCUGACAAGCUUUCUCCUCUUAUCUCUAUCAGGUUACAGAUGGUGAUCACAUUGAACGCUUUAUAUCCUGCUUGCGCAUGGCCCUUCCGUUUUUCAUGGUAUAUUCUUUAACGUAAUUUGAAAAAUUAAAGUUUGUAUUUUUGAUCUGUUAACAUCAUUGUAUAUGGUUCCAGAGGGGUGCAUCAAGCAGUAAGUUUCUCAACUAUCUGAACAAGCAAAUUGUACCAGUCUUUGACAAGGUAGUAACUGCCAUCUGAAUUGAAUUAUCACCAAUUUUGAGAAUCUCUGUCGCACGAACACUCAACUAGGGUAGUGUGUCCGUUUCUGACACGAGUCGAACACGUGUCGAUAUCGAUACUUUUCGGACACUCUACAAUAAUCAAUUUUCUUUCUUACUAUUAUAUAUUUUUAACUCAAAACUAUUAGUAAAUAACAAGUAAGUAUUUAUAUUUAAAAGAUUUCAACAAGAAAAAUCAAUAAUAAGUAUAAAAAUAAAUUUAUACCAUAUGAAUGAAGAAUUUUAAAGAAUUUAAUUAAUAUGUCUAUUACGUGUCGUGUCAGCAACUUGUCAAUGAAGCAUAUUUUGCUUCUACUUGUGACGUUGCUGCUUUUUAUUGAAAAAUUCAUAUUGCGGUUUUCUGAUGAAUGUUAAAUCUCUUUCCCCUUCAGCUUCCUGAAGAGCAAAAAUUAGACCUGCUUAAGAACCUUGCAGAAUGUUCACUUUAUGCAAGACCACAGGACGCAAGACAGAUUCUUCCGUCAAUUGUUCAACUUUUAAAGGUAUUGCUUUGGAAGGAGAUGGAAAUGAUGCUGUUUUCCAUGUUACCUGCAUAUUAUUAAUUGUAAUUCCUUCUCUGCUGAUCCUUUUUCUUCAGUUUUUGUAUUAAUCUAUUCAAACAUUCUAUUAUUGGGAUAAAUCAAACUGAUAAACCUUUCUCUUCACAGCAUGAUUCUUCUUGCUUUUACUGGUUUUGAUUUUAUUUCUUCUAUAUUGCCUUCCAUCUUGUUAAUUUGUAUAUGUGAAUCAUUUUGUUCUUCAAACAUAUGAUUUCUUUGCUUUCCUUGACUGCAUUCAUCUCUCUCUCUCUCUCUCUCUCUCUCUCUCUCUCUCUCUCUCUCACACACACACACACACACACACAAAAUACGCACAACACUGUAGAGAACCUUUUUGCUCAUACAAAAUAAUGCCACUCGGAUAUUUCUAUCUACAGAACAUGCUCAUAUUUUAUCCUCUCUUAUUCUUUAACUGGGCAUUAAUGUUUGGAUAUAAUUUUUGGUAAUGAAUGAAAAAAUCAUUUCAAAUUUAUAGUAUUCUUGUUCCAUACGUAAUGCUGUCAAAACUUCCUAACUAAGUCAACACAGCUCAUUGAUCUUGUGCUAUACCAGCAUGUCCCAUGGUGACUACUGACGAUUUGCACUCCGACAUGUUGGCUACGAAUUACUUAAAUCUACAAUUGGACUCUUGAUUAUACCAUGUGUUAUGAUCUUUAGAUUCAUCUACGGAAUUCUCUCACAAAACUCCCUUUCUGGCUUUUGUCUAACAGAAAUAUAUGGUUAGAAGGAAGCUUGAAGAGAUAAACUUCGCAUUUGUUGAGUGUCUGCUGUAUUCAUUUCACCAUUUAGCUCACAAGGUAAAUGUGAUAUAUAUUUUACCUGUCAGUAAAUUUUUGAUGUGCUUCGAAGUUGACUUGGGAUCUCUAUGAUUUAUUUAGACUCCAAAUGCCACAAAUAGCCUGUGCGGCUACAAGAUUGUCACAGGUCAGCCUUCAGACAGACUUGGAGAAGAUUUUUCCGAUUUAUACAAGGACUUUACAGAGAGGUACUCACCAAUUCCAUGCUUGUAUUUUGUGAAUUUGACCCAACUCUGGUGUGUAGGACAAAUACGUAAAAGACUGUUGAGGCUUAGAGAGAAUUGCCGUGCUUUUUUGGAUUAAAGUUAGAGCAUAGAAAUGAGAAGAACAUAAUUGUUCUCAGCCACCUAUGAACUCCUGGAAUCCUUAGGCGUAACAGUUGGAUCUGGGCACCACAAUACACCAGUGUUAGAUAUUGUGGAAUUAUAGGAUAUUGGCUGUAGCCUUAAAUAUUAGUUGUGACUAGUCAUCAUUCUACGCAAUGAUAAGUGGUAAAUUAUGUUUUCCGUGCUCUAACUUUUCAUCCUCAAAUUCUGCUUUACAUGGGUGUUCAGAUUUCUGUGGUCGUGGUUAUAUUUAUUAGAUCAAGUUGGAACAGAGUUUUUUCUUGCUCCCUGGCUUAUUUGCUUAACUCUUAGUUCCCGAGGCAUGCAUUUUCUAUAAUCACCUGUAAAUAGUUAUGAGCAUAGCAAAAAUAACAAAAUGGUUGGUUUCUUUUACUUUCUUCCCCCAUUUUUCCUACUGUCGUUUUUAAAGGAACUUUAACCUUGAACUUGACUUGGAUCUACGAUGAAACAGAUUGAGCACUAUGGAGGAUUUAGCAAAGGCUAUGAAUAAGAAACUGACCCAAGGGAUGGCUGAGCACAACAAAGCUAUGGCAGCUGCUAAAACAGAAGAAGAAAAAAAUGUCAUUGUGGGUUUCCUUCCUAGUACUAUUGUUGCCAUCUCAUAACAACUUUCCUGUGUCAUAUUAUUAGGCAGAAUGGACGUUGAUUUGUCCAUCUGCUUGCAUUGAUUUCACUUUUUAUAUUUUUCCUUAACCUGUAGAAGAAGCAGAAGCAGAAUGCUACAACUGGUCUUCGAACCUGCAACAACAUACUGGCCAUGGCUCAGGUGAAUUCUUUUGCUAAUGGCUCAAAAUUAUUCGUAAUGCAUUAUAGAAAAAUAUGUUUCUAUGCUAAACUAUAUUUUAUUGGUUUUUUUAAGUUCAAAGAUUUUGUUUCAUUUAUAUUGUUAUUUUAUUUAGAGUAUGAAUGAAAUAAUGAAGAAAUUUAUCUUUUCAAGUCUUAUCAAAUCUUCUUUGUUCUUGCAUCUGCUAUUCAGCCAUUGCAUGCAAAAACGCCAUCAUUUAUUGGGGAUCAGAAAAUUAGCUUGUCAUGGAAAGAAGUAACUAAAUCGUCAACUCCAUCAAGCACCACUGCUGCAGGGUAACUGAGACAAAGCACCUUCUGAAGUUUCCAUUGCUACUAUUCAGGUUUCUGUGUUAACAUUCUCGGUUUGCCUUUGCAGUCAAAAACGAAGUGCUGCUACUAAUAUAUCUGGCGCCAAUGCAUCCAAAAGGGGUAGGGGAAUGGGAGGUGUACAAAACCAACUUCUUAACAAGGCAUUUGAAGGUUUAAAUGGUGGCCGAGGUGGUGGAAGGGGUGGUGGAAGAACUGGUGGGAGAGGUGGCGGAUGGUGGGGUCGUGGUAGAGGAAGGAGUUAUCGCUAAAACUGGUCUCGUUUACUGUAUAAUUCGCAGAAUAUACUGAUGCACAUGAGAUUGUUGUAACUUUUAAGUUUAUUUUCUCACCUAGUACUGUUCAUUCGUAACUUGCAUUCGAUCAGUUCUCAGUUCUAACUAGCUCUCUCAUUAGAUAUUAUUUUUCUUGGAAAGCC